GAAAGGCAAUUUUUCAGAAAGACAAUUAACGAGUAAUGAGUUAACUUUGGAGAAUUCGUGGGACGGAUUCUACUGUGAAUUGUUAAUUUCCGUAACGAAGUAUAAGGUUAACUGGACGCUCUCGAAACAACCGGUGCUUACACGCCCAGGAAGCAGGAAGGAGAAGAAGGAUGCAACGAUAAAAUCAUUCGAGUCGUUGCCCGAAAACGGGCAGUCGAAAGCACCAGGAGACUUCGUGAGAGAUGCAAUCGUCGCGUCGUUUCUAAAUUACAGCAACAACACAAAUCAAAUGAAAACUUGGCAGAAUAUCGUGUUCGAUUCGUAUUCUUAUAAAACGCAAUACAGGGUGCGCACAUUCCCAUGACAGGAAGACUGAAAUUAGGUUUCCUGCCGAGUGCACGAACCGAAAGAUAAUUCCUUUCCAAGUUAUACAAAGUCGUACGAAUAAGGAAUUAUUUUUUUUUCUUAUCACACUACUCAUUUCUGUUCUUUUCCGGAAUAAGUUUUACGGAUAUUAAAGGGCCAAAUCUACGAUUGGAAACUUUUACAUCAAAAAGUUUAUUCAUUAUAAUCAGGAUUAUCAGUUUUUCUCAAGUUCUAUUUUAAUCUAAAGAGAAAUUUCAUUGAAGAAAUCGGAUCCUCUAUAAUUGGAAUGAAAUUUGCAGUAACAAAGCAUUCAUUGAAGGAAGAGGAACGAGAAUUUCCGAUCUUUUAAAAAGUUUUAAGUCUAUUAUCUUUUGCACGAGAAUUUACUCAUGACUACUAGGUCUAAGGACGUGAAGUCGAUGUCGGUGGCGGCGACGCACCGAGCGUGCUUCCUGCCGCUUGACCGGAAGUCGCGAGUCAGAGGCUCGGCUCUACGUAGGCGUUACGCUUCCUUACGCGUAUCUACACCGUCUCGCUACCCAGUUUCUCCUCUGCCUCGUUGCUGCUCUCCGUGGAAGACCCUUCGGCGCUCCUCGAGGAACCUUCUUUCAAGAAAACUGUUAUACUUUUAAAAAUUACAAAUUAUUCGACAACGUACACGAAAUAAUGAUUUUUCUUCUGCAUUCUCCAUUCUUUAAUUUUUAUUUUAACAAUCUAACAAGCAUCUGUACAAGCAGAAGCUACAAAGCAUAGAAACAAGGAAAGCAAGAGUAUUCUAUCGUCCAAAGAGAGAAUGUGAAAUCAAGAGAAGAGAAAGAAGAACGAAGAAAUGGAAAAGAAGGAAGAAUGGUGAAUCUCAAUCUCACUAUAUCUUAAAAAUCUCGAAUCUCUCUAGAAAGUGAACUUCACUGGCCGUUAGGUCGAGACAGACUUACAAUGCUUAUUAACUAAUUCAUAAUAAGAGGAGCGUACACGUUGUUCCAUUUCUUUCGGUGAAAUCCUUCUCGUGAUUACAAGCGAGUCACGCCGCUUAACGAUGCCGUUAAUUGACCCGCCUGCAAAGAGUGUUUCUACCUCUCUCUCCCUCUUUCUUCUUCCCUUCUCACUUCUUCUCCGCGAAAUCCACGUGCGGUAUUUAUUCCAUGAUCGCAAACGAGCCUCGCGACUUACAACGUCAUUAAUUGUCUGUACGGAAAGACAACAAGUUCACAAGCUUUCUGUCAACGUUGUGCACGUUAAACCUGUUCCAUGCUACAAACGCAUAACUGUAUUUGAGGUUAGCUGGAUAAACGCCUAGGGAAACAAGGCUCGACAUCGGUGCAAAAACCAUCGGCUCAUGAUGAUUCGAGAGACAAUAUUUUGAAACUUGAUAUGUGGUUAAUUUAUUAUGAUGGAAUUAUUACGAAACGAUAUGUUAUUAUACAGCAGAAAAAUACUUGAACUGGAAUCCAUUGAUUAAUGGGAUUGAAAUUCACAGAAGUACUUAUAUGAAAAAUAAAGAAAGAUGGAAGAUUUAUUAUGAAGAGAAGAGAACGAAUUUUGUAAUAAUGCACGAUAAGCAAAUUUAUUGGUAGGCGAACCGUGCUAGCAGAAAUAUGUAAUUGCUGACGAAAAAGCGCGGGGAACCGUCGCAACAUGGCCCACUGACUUCCGAUGCGAUCAACAUCGGCAUGGACACACACAAUAUCCAACGUUAUAUCGCCACCCUAAUUAUAAUUAGUUCGCUAAUAAUUGCGCCUUGAAUUCUAAUGCAGCUGAACAGCCUGGGAGAUGGGCUUUUUGCAACUGACCCGUGUCUCGACGGUUACCAUACGUUGAGACCAACGCCAUUUUUUUUUUUUUUGGAAUCAGAGGGGAACCAUUGGUAGGAAUAAAAUUAACUUCAAUGAUUAAACAUCUCAUCCAUUAUUCAGCCUCGUGAAAAUCGCAUUGGUUAUACAGGAUACAAGAUGUUUAAUGAUUAAACAUGGAGAGUUAAAGCGAAGUUUGUAAAUUGGAUGUUUUUUAUCUAACUUAUUUAGGUGAAAAUCAAAGAAAAAUGAUUAAGGAAAAGAUUUUAUUUAUAUAUAUGAUAUCAAGUUGUGUUACAACUUCUUUUUGAUUAAUUUUUUUUUUAUAAAUGUAUCAUACUGUUUCAAAAAUGUUAUAAUAUAUUCAUAUAAUUAAGUGAAAGGAAAUUAAGUAAUCGAAUUGAUACGGAUUGAUCAAAAUCAGAAAGUUUUUCCCAUCAGGAUUAAAUGGAAAUAUAAAACGUGCCAACAUCCCGUCAGUCGAAAUUUAAUCACGCACUGACGAUCGUUGUCUCUGUAAUUGGCUAAAUUUCAGUUGGACAUGGCGACGGGGGAAUAUUCUUGUUACGAGAUGAUUCACCUGUUGAUUCCAGAGGAUAAUAUCCUAUCUGUCCAUAGAAAUGCAUCUUUUUAAACUCGUAUAUUCAAUUAAUCCAUAAAUCUUUUCGAUGAUAAUGAACUUGAAUUUUUAAAUUAAUUACGAUUGCCAUCAAGACGUUUCGAGGAAAUCAAAGAUAAAUAGUAAACUAAUGAAAAUUAAAUGAAUCAUAUAUCUAUUAUGAUCUUGUGAUUAUUUAAUAUUUCGUGAUCUUGAUCGAUAGAUCUUUAUCAGCUAAUAAACAUAUUGAAUUUGUAACUAACGAAAACUAAUUUAUCGUCCAUUCAGUGAACAGUCAAAGAAGAGCUUAAUGAACGGUCAAUUAACGUUGAAAAAUGUGCGAAAGAUAUGGGACAUUGAUCGAAAAGUUAUGUCAAAAUUAAUCUUCAGCGAGACCUAUCGAGGAAACAAACCACUGUUGAUUGCUUGAAAGACCGGAAAUUCCGGGAUAUUCAGCCAGUAACCUCCGAGAAACGAAGAAAAUUAUUCGCCACUGUACGGGAACACCUGUCAGUCGUGGUUGCAACAUGUCCUCGAAAAGAUCGUGGAUCGAUUGCACCUCCACUGAUUAAUUAACCAAUCAAACUGUCUAAAGAAUUUAAAAGAAUGUUGUCGCAUUGUAUGACUAAUUGUAUUCUUCUCGCGGAAUAAUCAAUCAAUUUACGACUUUUAUAUUUGAAUAAUUGAUAAUAAUUAAUAAAAUAUAAUUAAUAAAAAUCGAUUUUGAUCAUCUAAAUACGAUGGCUGAAUACCGUGGUAUAAUAUAAUACUUGUCAAAUAUAUUAUAAUUCUUCAAAAAAUUAUUUGUAAUUAAUUAAUUGAAAUAAUAUUACAAAUGUUUUGCAAAUAGCGUCACUAUAACAUUUGUUUCGUAAUAAUGAAACGAAUGAGAGGUUAAAUAACUUUGAGAUUUUAAUAAUAUUCUGCAAAUGCGGUGACACAACAAGGUCCGUGAGAAUCGUACUGUGUUUGUGACGAAGGAACCGUUUUAUUGUAACUCGACUUGCGGUUAACUAUCAUAGAGGUUAUUAAAAACCGCAGUUACAGUCAUACAUAUUAAUGAACUGGUUUCUAUUCGUCACGCUUUUAAUUUACGAGAUCUUAUAUUGUCUGGUAUUCCCCAAUGAUUCGAAUUCUCGAUUAUUCGAAUUACCUGCCUCUGAUAAGACUGGUUCGAGAUCCUGCUACGUUAUUUCUUUUCUCAAAAAUCCCCGAGAGAAAGGAGGACACAGUUCAAAGAUUCAAGUUUAUCGGGAAAAAAGUAAAUGAACUUUCAUCGUCCAGAUAAAACCCAGCAUAACAACGUGACGAUAUCAAAAAUGGAAAACACCUGGUAUCACUGGAUCGAUUCCAAAAAUAACAAAUUGUCGAUAAAUUCAUCAACAAUUUUAAUUAAUCGAAAUUUCUUUAACGAGGAAAAACGAACCAUUAACCAUUAAUUUAAAAAAUCGAAUCUGCUUGUUGUUUAUCGGCCUUGAGCGAUGUUGCUAUCAACGUUUGACCAUGGAAUCUUUAACUAAGGAUUAACAUCGGCUCACACGUUCACUGACAAUGUUUCGAAAUAAGUAUUGGACUUGGAAGUCGAAGCCGGAGAAGAAAACACGGGGAGCAAAAGAGAGAAAGAAGGAAAGAACGAAACGAAAAGAUGAAAGGAUGGAACGAGAGGGAAGAAAGAUGCAUUGCACGCGCGGAUGGAAGGUGCGGACGUACACCUGAGAGCAGGUGCAUCGCAAGGUCUCGGUCCUCUCCUCUUUACUCGUCUCUCUUUCGUGCCACCAUCGGACAAUCGGUCGAUCCGGGGGACAUAAAAUUGAUCGAGUCCGGUUCGUCGAUCCUUUCUUCUUCACUCGACUUUUCCCUUGGCUGAUCGAUUGGAAAAUUAAGCACCGUGCGGCUGCUGCUCUUUAAUCGCUUCGUAUGAUAAUCAAUUCGAUAAUUUCUUUGAAUUUUUCGCUAGAAGAAGAAUUAAUGCCGAUAAUACCAUGCUUUGUGCGAUACCUGGAAUUUCGUAUUCGCGAAGUUCCAUCGCGUUUGGCUCGCGUUUACUGAAUUGCAAUUGAUUUCUUUUUUUUUUUUCUUUGCUUUUGGGAAUAAAAAAAUUUUUACGUAUUCUUUGAGAUUGAUAUACUGAUACAUCUCAAAGCAAUUUUCGUAAAGAUUGUAAGAUCGUUUCAACUUUUUCAUUUUAAUAUAUUACAACUCAUGGUAUUAUUUGUAAAUGUUGGAUAACAAAGGAGGGAAAAGAAAACUUUCGUUUUUAUCGAAAAAUUUGUAAAAAUUCACAAUGCGAUUCUUUUUAUAGCAUACAUACAUUUGCAUGAACAAUUCACGAUUGUUUAUCAAGUUGUAAAAUGUACAUGUUUUCGUGAUCAUUUUUCGAUUGUCUUUUUUUACUUGGAAAAAAUAUAUACGACCUUCGAGAAACAGCAAUUUGCAUUAAAUAAAAACCAAUGCGGGUUUUUUAAUUAUACACACACACACAUACAUAUAUUUAUGUAUAUAAGAUUUUCGGCUAUUAUUUCUGGAAAUUUAAUUUGCACAUGUUUCUUCGAAUUGGAUUCACCUUUUCAAUCGCUGAAUAUUUAUGGCCUUGUUCUGUUACUCUAGGGGAAUAAUAAUCUUUUAAGUGAAAAUAUAUUAAUCUUUUCACCUCAAUUCGAUCAAAGAGAAUCUAGGUGAAUAGUCCCCUUGCUUUGUUGCAUCGAAGAAAUAAUUUAUUUCUCCAGCUGCCACGAUUAGUUCCACUCGACAGUUUCUAGUUCUUGCAAAGGAACCUUUGGAAGAUUGCCGUUCGUAUAAAAUGACCAAGUCCGUUAAUAUUUUAUUAAUUCUGUUGAAAAGAAGAAGUUAAAAGAUUCAUGAAAAAAAGUUAUAUAAUAAAUUUUCUGAUAUUCGUGUGUACCGGAGUUUGCGCUGAAAGUACAACAAGAAACAAAUAGCGCUCGUUUGUACGUCGGUGACACUAGCGUUGGUUCAUCCAUUAUUCACCGUUCAUCCAUUUACUUCAUUUACCUCGUUCACUUCGGUGUAUCGUCGCAAAAAACCAGUAACCAGACACUCGUAACACGCACGUCGCGAUGCAAGGAAUGUACCGUGGAAAAUAAAUACGACACAGGAAUCUCAUUUCUGAGAAAGUAUUUUUUUUUUUUUUUCUUGCAGAUUAUUUCUCUCUUCCAUUUCACAUUUACGUGUGUGAAAUCUUGUAGGAAAUUUGUGGUAAAUAUUCUUAAUAUUGAAUUAUUCCCAAGUUUUGCAUGCUUUUAGUAGAUUUUAAUUUUGAACAUGUCAAUAUGGAAAUAAUUUAAAAAUAUAUUAAGUGUUUCGUAAAAGACUUUGGAAAUAAAGGUCUAAGAUAAAAUGAACGUUAAUGAUUAGUUAGUGGCCAUUUGCAUCGUUUAUUGCUAAUAUAAAUACCAUUCUUUUACAAAUUGAAUCGAAGUAAUGACGGUCCAUAACACGCGUAAAAAAUAUUAUCUAAUCGAGCCUAAUGACGGAAUAAUGCUAUAGCAUUCGACAAAUUGUAAUACCUUAUAGGAAUGGAAAUAGAGAAAGAGAGAAGAGAGGCAGAAGAAGAGGCAAGAGAAAAAAAGUGAAAGAACGAGGAUCGAUGGAGAAUGUAAGUUUUUAUUUUUCUUUUCACCUCCGUUUCUUUGAACAAUCGGUUUGUCGAUCGUUUAAUGAAAAAGGGGAAAAAAAAAAAAAAAAAAAAAGAAAAAAGAUUCCAAUUUCUAUCUUCCUCUUUUAUCCAAUUGUCCAAUGAUCCUCAUUUUUAUUCGUUUGAAAUUUCUCGCUAUAUUAUUUCGAUACUUUUUAUUGUAUCGAUUAAACGAUUCUCUAUACACAAGAGUUAAUAAAUCAUGAAAUAAAAGCUAAAAUCUAUUUUCACAGUGCUGUUUAGACGCUUAAUUAGACAUUUUCUUUGUCUUCCAGCUGUUUACGAGAAAGUGUAAAGAACUUCCCUGGCAAAUCUUUCUUACUUUCAGACCAACUUCUGUUCUUUCGCAUUUUUUUUUUUCUUUUUUUUUUUAAUAAACACUUCCUUGUUCAUUUCUUCUUCCUUCGAUUUUAUUUUUCCACUAUUUAUUUCUUUGUCCUUUCGUUGAAUUUCACCUUGUCCCUAAGCCAGCUAACUUGAACUUGUCCUAUUAAGUACCUAAUAACAAGUGGCACGAUUAAUUUGUACAAAUUGCCUAAACGAUAGCGCGCACGUUUAAAAUUUCAAGGCUAAGUUUAUUCAUUUACUCAUUUUAUUAUUUUGCUCUCCUUAAGAAGAUUCACACGAGAUGUAAUUGUCCCUUAAUGAUUUAUUAAAUAUUGACAAUAUUAUUUUAAUUUUAUAUAUAUAUAUGUAUAUAUAUAUAUUUUAUAGAUAUAUAGAUAUAUAUAUAUAUUUUUUUUUUUUUUACACAGCUCAUUGAGUAAAGAAUAAAAUUUCUAAGAAAUUUAAUUCUCUCAAUUAAAUAAAUUUCUAACAUCGCUUCGAUACGAUAUUUAAAUGUCAAAUGCUCGAAAUCACGUGAUAAAAUUUUUUUCUUUUGUCAAGAACGGAAAGAGUCCGAUGGAUGGAAUCACUUCCGAGUUGUUCACACUCCCAGCUAAAUAGAUUUAAAUUUCACUAACGCUUAUAACUUUUUUCUCCUUUUUUAAUCCACGAAUCGUGAACAUUGAUAAACGAACACUACUUUGAUUCAUUUAAAAAGAUUUCAAUUGCACUAUUUGAGCGUUAGAAUUCUCUCGAGUAACACCUAUUACUUUAAAUUAAGUCCAGAAUUCUUUAGAAAAAAAAAAAAAAAAAAGUAAUAAUAAUAA